CAUUAACAAUACAUUUGGCUCUCUAUUGCAAUAACAUUGUGUAUAUGCGCAAAUUGUCAUGCUAACAUGGGUUGCCUUUAUGCUAUGCAGGUGAUUGAGGGACUAUUCCACCAGUCAUGUAAUGAGUUCAAAAUGACAAAUUCCAUCUACAUUUUGAACCAUUAUACAGCUGGUGUUAUACUUUUUGGUGACCGGACAGAGUUGAGCCGUCAACGUCUUUCAAAGGUGAACUUUGAUAACUACAAGGCUGCCAUUUCCUUUGUGAACAUACAAGGAAAUCACUGGAAACUGCUGGUAAGCCACUGUCACAAUGUUAUGGUCUAACCAGCAAUGUUGCAUAGUAAUUUGCAUUCGAUCAUAUACAUUGCAGUACAUUGUCCCAGUCAUCAGUUCGGUUUUUUUGGUGGACCCUGCUCACAAUCCAGCUGAAGCUCAGGAAUCUGAAGAAGCUGCCAAAAAAAUGCAGGAGUACUUCAAAAUGAGGAUGACCUUUGGCAUGCAUGAUUGGAGCAAAACUAAAUGGAAGGGAGCAACCAUGCCACAUCAUGUGCAGCAAGACGGUGACAGUUGUGGGGUAGUUGUGGUGUUGAUUGCCAGGGAACUCAUGAAGUGUUUUCCUGUCCUGCCAAAAAUUACAUUUGGGACAUCUCGCACGGAAAUGGCAGCCGUUAGACAAGAGCUGGCACAAAUGCUUCUCUCUGAUUCUGUGUUUGAUUCCGAUAGCAACUGCGCAAUCUGUUCCAAUUCCACGCCUCCAGGUUCCAGUGCUUUACUUACGGAUUGGAUACAAUGUGAUAUAUGUGGCCGUUGGUAUCACAGCCAGUGUCUGGACAUGGACCAGGCUUCAUUUCAGGAGGCUGGGACCAAGGAGUGGCUAUGCAUUAUGUGCAUGUGAUCUGAAUGAUAAACUGUACAGGGGAAGCCAUCAAAGAUUCCAACUCCUAAUAUAAGGUUGUAUAAUUUCAUAACAGAUGUUAUGUAAACAUGUACUUGUUAAUGAUGUACAAUAUCAAAACCGACAGUACACAAUUAUUUAUAUAGGCUGUGACUAUGCGCGCAUGUGUACAUACUGCACUGUUGUUGCAUACAUUUGGUCGGCACAUUUAAUAUACACACUGAGGGGUAUGGUCGGUUGUUAAGUACAAAACAAAACCCACUUGGUCUCUGUUAUCACUCAUGUACGUACUAGUGAAGGUGGAGGCACCACAGUCAUGCUCUCACUGUACUUGGGGAGGGG
rnacentral:lncRNA from 1 species